AAAAUUUUGGGUUAAUUGCAUAUAACUCCCUGUAAACAUAUCGAAUAACAGAUAUAUUCCUAAAAUGUUCAACUUUUUAUUUUUAUCCUUGCAAAUAUUCUAAUAUUUUCAAAAAUAUCCCCCUUGUUAGGAUCCGUUAGAAAAAUAUUGUUAACUAUAAGUAAAAUACUUAACCCUAGUUAGUGAAUGAAUUAAAUUGAUCUUUUUACCUCUCUUAUAUUAUUAGAUAAAAUACUUUUUUGAAAGCAUAUUUUUAUAUAACUCUAACAGUUGGGACUUUCGAAGGGAUAUAUUUGUAAGAAUAAAAAUGUCAUUUCAUUUAUCUACUGUUAAAAAAUAAACAGCUCUCUAACAAUGGUAACAAAUAAGAGCAGCAAAUAUGAAUAUCAUUGGACUUUUGCCGGAAUAAAAAUUAAAAAUUAAACUUUAUAGAAAUAUAUUUACUAUUUGUUAUAUUUACAGAAAAUUAUACACAAUUAACUUAAAAUUUUUUAUUAUAUUUAAUUUUAUUUAAAAUUAAAUGACUCGAAUAUAUUCCGUCGCUCGAUAAGAAUAGUACGCGACGUGCCGGCGAUGUCGGGGCACGCAUGGCUUCCCUUACUACUUUGGGGCAGGGGUGUGUUGGGUUGGUGGCGGGGGGUGGCGGCCCACCCAAUCUGGAGCAAGAUUUGGGCUGACGUCACAACACCACCGUUUUCCAGUUGGCCCGACCAGACCAAAUCAAAUCAAAUCAAAUCAAAUCAUGUGCCGUCUUCCCUCCCGAGGAAUUCUACACUGUCACACUUGCACCACGUCAUCAAUAACAAGCCAAUCACAUUCCUUCUUUUCAAACAAAAGUACAAUAAAAAUACUUUUUUACAAUCAUGAUGGGACAUAUAUUCUUAAAAGGAUUAAUUUGAUUGGUUUGUUACGCCACGUCACUAAUAUACCCGUUGCAUUCUAGAAUUUUUCCUUCCCUCCCCUCCCCUCCUCCCAACCCCCCGUAUCUUUCUUUCUUCCUUCUUCCUUCCACGCCGGGUGCGGAAUUCUAUGCCAUUUCCUCUCUCUCGGAUCUUCCCCGCAAUCACAGGUUAAAAUUUCGGUAGGAAACCUCUCCUCCGUAACCAAUAUUAGAUUUAUCUCUACCUAUAAUUUAAAUUUUAAAUUUGAAAAUAAAAAAUAAAAAUAAUACGCGGCAACAGAUUGAGACUUCUCAACACGGUAUUUAUUUGGUUCGCAUAAAAUAUAAUUCUUUUUUAUUAUUUUUUUUUUUUUUGUAUUUCACGGUAAGGUUUUAAGUAUUCGUCGGCACGGACCGUAUCUACCGUGCCGUAUCGUACCAACAAGAUACCGUCACGUUACAGAUCCCAUGUCGAUAGCACAGCUCAAAACCCUCUAUUUUAAGUUUAAAAAGUAUGAUAAAAGGCAUAAUAAAUAGUUAGAAUAUUUUUUUGGUAAAAGAAAUAAAUAUUUUACGCUAUUAUAUAUCGGCACAUAAGAAUUUUUUUGACCGGCAAGCAUCGGCACGGAUUGGCACGGCACGGCACACACCGUGCCGGCAAGUUUCCGACACGAUCCCGUACCACGGCACUUAAAUCCUUAUUUCACGAAAAAAUUUUUCUUUUCGUUUUUUUAUGUUUUAGAAAAAUAUUUUUUUUUAAAAAAAUAAAACCACAAGAUAUUAAUUUGAUACACUUUAAAUCACAUAUUAGAGUAAUGAUAUUUGAAGUUUAUCUUUUUUUUAACAUAGAACAUGGGGGGAAUUUUUUUUAUAAAUAAACCUAUCAAUUUUUAUAAUUAUAAAAAUAAUUUUGUUAAAAAAAUAAUUAUAAAAAUAGACCUCUAAAUGCGGUGAAUGAUUCACCGCAUUCAUAACUUCUCAUUAGGAGAAAAAAAAGGGUAAAAGCGGUGAACCAUUCACCGCUUUUAUAGAAUUAUAUUUAUAAAUAAAAAUUUAACAGGUCUAUUUUUAGAAUAAAAUUUUAGAAAAAAAAUUAUUGCACUAAAAAAUC
rnacentral:lncRNA from 1 species